UAUCAUACAAAAAACAAAUGGGGUGUUUGGAAAGGUGGUGGUUCACUGGUUCGAUCAGUUGGUAUAUCAGGAAUGACCGAACUGCUUUUCCUCUACUUUUGAUAUUUAGUUACCAAAAUUAAUCUUCUUCAUCCCCUCUUCCUCCUAUAUAUUGACGUCUUCGCUCGUGAUCGCUUAGAGCUCCUCUUCCAUCAAUAGGAACUCCCAACCCGUCGACCACACGCCCUAGCAGAUCCUCUCUCUCAGGGAGAAAGAAGAUUUAUAGUUUUAACUUUUAAGUUCUGUUCUGAUCGUGUCAGGUUAUUAAACGAAAGCUGCUGCAUUCGGUUGAGGACAAUUUAACUCCAUCUGCAUCAAGAAAGACAGAAUCUACAGAGAUCAAUUUGAGUGCAGAUGCAACUUAGGUGAAGUUAUAUUUGUCGAUACCUUGUGGAUAUCGACAUCAACAGCUGACGUCCGCAAGUGGAGUUUGCUUUCCACAGGGUAAGGGCGUACCAAUGCCAAAGUUCGGAGAAUGGGACGUCAGUGAUCCAGCAUCAGCAGAGGGAUUCACAGUAAUCUUCAACAAGCUGGCAAGGACUGAGGAAAAGACUGGUGGCAGACCUGAGUCACCAGCAGAGGAUGACUGCACAUAUAAGCAUGGAGCAGUUCUCGGAAAGCCUACCAUUAACGCAGAAGAAGUCGAUCGACUGGGCUGAAGUUUCACCACCAAACUACUAGUUAUCGGAAGAAUGUCUGAAAGCAAACUACGGCACGGAAGGAGUGACAGGACCACUUUUUCUGGUUCUCGAGCUAUCCGAUUACUAACACAAAAAACCACAGCAAAGCGCGGGCUGUAUAUCACUAGUAUCAUACAAAAGUGCAAAACACAAAUGGGGUUUUCGGAAAGGUGGCGGUUCAGUUGGUAUAUUAGUAUAUCAGUCAUACAUAACGUGUUUAUCCAGAAUGACUGAAACAGAAACAGUUUCCUCUACUUGUCAUAUUUAGUUACUAAAAGAGUAAAAUCAAUGUUCUUCUUCCCCUCUUCCUCCCAUAUAUUUAAAGCAAUUCUCCUUGAAGAGGAAUAAGUCGAGCAAUUCUUCCUCCUGCAAUACUCUCCAAAUGAACUCCACACCACCUGCAUUCGUGGAAUACUUAACUGGGGUAGGUCUAUUUAUUAUAUUCAUCCUUGUAUGCAUGGUUCCUGUAUUUUUUGCGGUUGUCGAUAAAAAAUCACGGAGGAGGUGAUCAUGAUGAAGAUAAUGUGGUCGAGAUGCCUGGAAAUGGCAUGGUAUUACUUAAUAGAGCUAAGUAUUUUAAUUAUCGUUGUUCGUUUAAGAUGAUUUUGGGUUAAAUAAUCUUGUACUGCUGAAUAAUGGGAUGAGGGCUCCAAGUCGAUCCCCAACGAUAUUCAGCAGUACGAGAUUAUUUAACCUACCCAAAAUCAUCUUAAACGAACAACGAUAAUUAAAAUACUUGGCUCUAGUAAGUCAUGCCAUUUCCAGGCAUCUUAUUGACCAGAUGCAUUAUCUUCAUCAUGAUCACCUCCGUGAUUUUUUAUCUACAACCGCAGAAACUGCAAGAACCAUAAAUACGAGGAUGAAGAUAAUAAAUACACCUACCCCUGUUAAGAUUUCCAUGAAUGUAGGUGGUGUGGAGCUCAUUUGGGGAUCGAGUAAUGCAGGAGGAAGAAUUGCUUGACUUAUUCCCCUUCAAAAGGAGAAUUGGUUUCAAUAUAUAGGAGGAAGAGGGAAAGAAGAACAUUGAUUUUGGUAACUACAUUUGAAAAGUAGAGGAAAUUGUUUCUGUUUCCGUCAUUCUCGAUAAACACGUUAAGUAUGACCGACGAAGAGCUAUGUAUACUAACUGAACCGCCACCUUUCCAAACACCCCAUUUGUGCUAGAGAUAGAUCUCAUUUGGAGAGUACUGCAGUUGGUGUUUAACUGUUUAUAACCUAUUCCGGCCCUCCUCAAGGAGAGAAUUUCUUUUAAGCCUUUUGGCUUUUGGUUUUAGGUUUGAAUGGAAUGUGUAAUAUCAGAUGGUGAAGAAUUGGAAUCAAUACUAGAUAAGGAGGUAUUGAUGGCAACAUCAUUUUUAAUUGAUUGCAUUCAUCAA